rnacentral:rRNA from 1 species
AGCGGGAUCCAUCCAGUAGCAAUACUGGUGAAGAUCUAGCGGCGAACGGGUGAGUAACACGUGAGAAACCUGCCCCGAACUCUGGGAUAACACGAGGAAACCCGUGCUAAUACCGGAUACCUUCUUUUGGCCGCAUGGUCAGAUGAAGAAAGAUUUAUUGGUUUGGGAGGGUCUCGCGGCCUAUCAGCUAGUUGGCGGGGUAAUGGCCCACCAAGGCAUCGACGGGUAGCCGGCCUGAGAGGGCGACCGGCCACACUGGGACUGAGACACGGCCCAGACUCC